CUCGUACUGGAUACUGAAUCCACCGUAGUAGCAGGAGGUCCACCUGUACCACACACAAAUAUGACUUACAAAAGAAUUGAUUCAGUGGUUGUUCCUCUAACUCAGUUGGUAGCAAAUGGACAGCAAUGUUAGCUAAGGUCAUGGGUUAAAUUCCCAUAUGUAUCUGGAUUAGGAUAAAAACAUUUAACAAAUGCAUAAAUGUAACUGCUCUGACAGAUUCAGUGAGAAAUUCUUUAAAUUAGAGUCGUUCUGACUCAUUCAUUAAAAGAAUUGACUCAUAAUGGCUAUGCCGGUGAAGCUUAUGCUUGCUUUUGCUGAAAAUAACAAAAGAGAAGGAUGUGAUGGGUUGCUUUUAGUAUUUUUAUUUAUUUUAGCUUGCUUCAUCUUACUUGCAAAUAUCAAAUUAUCAUCAUUAUACCCAUAUAAUGUGUAUUGUUUAUAAAAUUUUUGCUUAAAUAUAUUGUUAUAUUUAGGGGCCAAGCACCAAAGGUGGGAUGGCACCUGUUGUAUCCAUUGGCGUUCUUCUUCUUCUUCUGCUCUGGGAGUCUAUGGCAGCCCAUAGAACCGCCUGCGGGAAAGUUACAAAAUUUGGCACAAUAAUAGAAGACAGUCCCGUCAUUAACUACAGCAAAUUUGGUGUCUCUAGAUCAAACUUUCUAGUGCCACUUGUCCAAAAUUUCACUCAUGUUUACGCUAAUAACUUAUAACAAAACUCCAACUACUCUGGGUAAGAGGCUGUUAUAAAUCUGAAAUUUGGGUGGACUCAAUAACUAACCAUAAACAUAAAUUAGACAGUUUGAAACCAAGCAAUUAAGUAUCAUGAAUAGUUUAUAUAUCAUAUGAAAGUAUAGCACCAAAAACCAACAA